rnacentral:rRNA from 1 species
UACGGGGGGGGCAAGCGUUGUUCGGAAUUACUGGGCAUAAAGGGUGCGUAGGCGGCUUGUUAAGUCAGGGGUGAAAGUUUUCGGCCCAACCGGAAAAUGGCCUUUGAUACUGGCGAGCUCGAGUGCGUGAGGGGUGACUGGAACGAGCAGUGUAGCGGUGAAAUGCGUAGAUAUUGCUCGGAAGGCCAACGGCGAAGGCAGGUCACUGGUACGCAACUGACGCUGAGGCACGAAAGCGUGGGGAGCAAACAGG